rnacentral:rRNA from 1 species
UUUUAAAAAAAAAAUUAUUAAUUUUGUUUGAUUUAUUUAUAUUUUUUAAUUUAAUUAAAAUUAUUUAAUUUUGUUUAAGUAUAUUUUAUAGAAAAAAUUUUUUGUUAUUAUAGUUUAAUAUUAUUGUAGAAGAAUUUUGAAAUAUUAUGAAAUUUAUUUAUUUAGAAGUAAUAUUUAAUUUGUGUACCUUGUGUAUCAGGGUUUAUUAAAAUUAUUUCAUUUAAAUUGAAUUUUUCUAAUUUGAAAGAUCUAAAUAUUUAUGAAAUUUUUAUUGUGUUAUUAAUAUUUUAAAUUUAUAUUUAGUAAUGAAAUGUUAUUCGUUUUUAAAGUUAUUUAAUUUUUUAAUAAAUAAAUUUAAUUUAUAUAUUAUUUUUGAAUUAAUAAUUUUUUAUUAUUAUUUUUAUUUAAUAUUUAUAUUUUAAGGGAUAAGCUUUAAAAUAAAUUAUUAUAAUAUUUUAUUUAUUAUUUUUGAAUUAAUAUUUUAUAGUCUUAAAAAUAGAUUUUAUAAAAAAAAAUGUUUUAAUUUAUUAUUGAUUUUAUAAAAUUUGUUAAUUAAUUUAAUUUUUUAUUAAAAUUUUUAAUUAAAUAAAUUUAUUUAAUUAAAAAUGAUAAAAUUAGUAUAUUUAUAUAUUUAUUUAAUUAAAAAUUAUUUGUUAGGUUAUAUUAAGGAAUUCGGCAAAAAUUUUAUAUUUGCUUGUUUAACAAAAACAUCGUUUUUUGAAUAUAAUUUAAAAUUUAAUCUGCUCAAUGAAUUUAUUAAUUUAAAUAGCCGCAGUAUUUUGACUGUGCAAAGGUAGCAUAAUAAUUAGUCUUUUAAUUGAAGGCUGGAAUGAAAGAUUUGACAUGAUAUAAACUGUCUUAAUUUAAAUUAAAAUUGAAUUUAAUUUUUAAGUUAAAAAGCUUAAAUUUUUUUAAAGGACGAGAAGACCCUAUAGAGUUUUAUAAUUUUUCUUAUUUAAUAAUUUUAAUUUUAUUUUAAAUAAGAAAAAUUAUUUUGUUGGGGUGAUAGAAAAAUUUAAUAAACUUUUUUAUAAAUUAUACAUUUAUUUAUGAAUUUUUGAUCCUGAAUUUUUUGGAUUAAUAGAUUAAAUUACCUUAGGGAUAACAGCGUAAUUUUUUUUAGAGUUCUUAUCGAUUUAAAAGAUUGCGACCUCGAUGUUGGAUUAAAAUUUAAUUUAGGUGAAGAAGCUUAAAAUUUAGGUCUGUUCGACCUUUAAAAUUUUACAUGAUCUGAGUUCAAACCGGUGUAAGCCAGGUUGGAUUCUAUCCUUAAAUUUUAUUAAAUUUUUAGUACGAAAGGAAUUAAAUUUAAAUUUGUAAUUUUUAUAAUUGAUUAAAAUUAAUAGGUUAA